GGAGGGAUCAUUAACGAAUGGUCUUGGUACCUUCAAAACCCCUCAAACCAGUGGACAUGAAAAAAUGUGCUUCGGCGCUCCGGCGCCGCUUUUAUGCUGUAACUCUGUCGUUUGUGUCUGAAUGUAAAGCAAAGAAUCUAAAACUUUCAACAAAGGAUCUCUUGGCUCUCGCAUCGAUGAAGAACGCAGCGAAGCGCGAAAUGUAAUGUGAAUCGCAGAACAUUGUGAAUCAUCGAAUCUUUGAACGCACAUUGCGCCUCCUGUUACAGGGAGGCAUGCCUGUCUGAGCGUCAUUUAAACCCAAUGCCGACGGCGUGCUUUUGCCGUCGCGGCGUGUUGGGCCCUCGUCGGACUUGGCGUCGACGUGGCCUCGAAUCCAUCGGUCGAGUUGAGCGGACGAGAUCCUCUGGGACAAUAGACCGUUCACGAGACCCUAAAAGACUUCUGAAUUUUGACCUCAGAUCAGGUAGGGACACCGCCUGAACUUAAGCAUAUCAAUAAGGCGAGGAACAGAAACCAACAGGGAUUCCCCUAGUAGUGGCGAAUGAAGCGGGAAAAGCUCAAGUUUGAAAUCCGGCGGCUAGUCCUCUGGAGUUGUAAGCUGAGGAACGAUGACCGACGUGGGCCGGGUCCAAUUUCCUUGGAACAGGGAGUCAUGGAGGGUGAGAACCCCGUGGAUGACUCGGAUCCCAUCGUCCUAGUGUCGUCGUCUCCAAGAGUCGGGUUGUUUGGGAAUGCAGCUCAAAAUGGGUGGUAAAUCUCAUCUAAAGCUAAAUAUUGGCGAGAGACCGAUAGCAAACAAGUAGAGUGAUCGAAAGAUGAAAAGUACUUUGAAAAGAGAGUGAAACAGUACGUGAAAUUGUUGAAAGGGAAGCGUUUGACAUCAGCCCAUGGCCUCCGACGAUCAUCUGGGCCUCGUGCCCAGUGCACUUGUCGGGGGUCGGGCCAGCAUCGGCUCCGUCCGUCGGAGAAAGGUCCAGAGGAUGUGGCUCCCUCACGGGAGCGUUAUAACUCUGGGCGUCAUACGACGUGACGGGGCCGAGGUCCACGGUGUUCGCACCUAGGAUGCUGGCGUAAUGGUUCCAAGCGACCCGUCUUGAAACACGGACCAAGGAGUCUAACAUCUAUGCGAGUGUUUGGGUGUCAAGCCCGUCCGCGCAAUGAAAGUGAAUGCAGGCGGGAGCCUUUAGAGGGUGCACCGCCGACCGGUCCAGGGGUUUACCGAAGGAUCUGAGUAAGAGCAUAGCUGUUGGGACCCGAAAGAUGGUGAACUAUGCCUGAAUAGGGUGAAGCCAGAGGAAACUCUGGUGGAGGCUCGAAGCGGUUCUGACGUGCAAAUCGAUCGUCGAAUUUGGGUAUAGGGGCGAAAGACUAAUCGAACCAUCUAGUAGCUGGUUCCUGC
rnacentral:misc_RNA from 1 species